AUGAACGCUAGCGAUAGGCUUAACACAUGCAAGUCGAGGGGCAGCAUGGUCUUAGCUUGCUAAGGCUGAUGGCGACCGGCGCACGGGUGCGUAACGCGUAUGCAACUUGCCUCACAGAGGGGGAUAACCCGUCGAAAGACGGACUAAUACCGCGUACACUCUAUGUUGGGCAUCCAAUGUAGAGGAAAUGAAAUUCGCUGUGAGAUAGGCAUGCGUCCCAUUAGCUAGUUGGUGAGGUAACGGCUCACCAAGGCGACGAUGGGUAGGGGAACUGAGAGGUUGAACCCCCACACUGGUACUGAGACACGGACCAGACGCCUACGGGAGGCAGCAGUGAGGAAUAUUGGUCAAUGGGCGAGAGCCUGAACCAGCCAAGUCGCGUGAAGGAUGACUGUCUUAUGGAUUGUAAACUUCUUUAAUACGGGAAUAACAAGAGUCACGUGUGGCUCCCUGCAUGUACCGUAUGAAUAAGCAUCGGCUAACUCCGUG
rnacentral:rRNA from 1 species